UACGAAGGGGGCUAGCGUUGCUCGGAAUCACUGGGCGUAAAGGGCGCGUAGGCGGAUCUUUAAGUCGGGGGUGAAAGCCCAGGGCUCAACCCUGGAAUUGCCUUCGAUACUGGAGAUCUUGAGACCGGAAGAGGUAAGUGGAACUGCGAGUGUAGAGGUGAAAUUCGUAGAUAUUCGCAAGAACACCGGUGGCGAAGGCGGCGACCUGGUCCAUUACUGACGCUGAGGCGCGACAGCGUGGGGAGCAAACAGG
rnacentral:rRNA from 1 species